GAGAUUAUACUUGAAACAUAUUGUGUAACCAAGAACACAUUAAACAUAAAUGUUUACACUUGCACAAUGGCAUUUAUCUAUUGUGUAGUCAAGGAUACAUUUUAUCACAUUUUAAUUUUAAUUUCGGUCGAACAAUGUAUUGUUCCAAUAAAAACGCAUAGCGUCUUUUCGGUAGGAUAAUAACUUGUAACUAUAUUGACCUUAGUGACGACAUUGUUUGUACUGUUCGCUGUGUAGUAAACUACACAAUGAACAAUUCGAUGUCAGAAUA
rnacentral:lncRNA from 1 species